rnacentral:rRNA from 1 species
UCCUACGGGAGGCAGCAGUGGGGAACAUUGCACAAUGGGCGCAAGCCUGGUGCAGCAACGCCGCGUGAGGGACGAAGGCCUUCGGGUUGUAAACCUCUUUUAGUAGGGAAGAAGCGACUGGGUUUUCCUGGGAGUGACGGUACCUGCAGAAAAAGCACCGGCUAACUACGUGCCAGCAGCCGCGGUAAUACGUAGGGUGCAAGCGUUGUCCGGAAUUAUUGGGCGUAAAGAGCUCGUAGGCGGUUUGUCGCGUCUGCUGUGAAAACCCGAGGCUCAACCUCGGGCCUGCAGUGGGUACGGGCAGACUAGAGUGCGGUAGGGGAGAUUGGAAUUCCUGGUGUAGCGGUGGAAUGCGCAGAUAUCAGGAGGAACACCAAUGGCGAAGGCAGAUCUCUGGGCCGUAACUGACGCUGAGGAGCGAAAGCAUGGGGAGCGAACAGGAUUAGAUACCCUGGUAGUCCAUGCCGUAAACGUUGGGAACUAGAUGUGGGGACCAUUCCACGGUCUCCGUGUCGCAGCUAACGCAUUAAGUUCCCCGCCUGGGGAGUACGGCCGCAAGGCUAAAACUCAAAGGAAUUGACGGGGGCCCGCACAAGCGGCGGAGCACGCGGAUUAAUUCGAUGCAACGCGAAGAACCUUACCAAGGCUUGACAUAUACCGGAAACGGCUGGAAACAGUCGCCCCGCAAGGUCGGUAUACAGGUGGUGCAUGGUUGUCGUCAGCUCGUGUCGUGAGAUGUUGGGUUAAGUCCCGCAACGAGCGCAACCCUCGUCCUAUGUUGCCAGCACGUAAUGGUGGGAACUCAUGGGAUACUGCCGGGGUCAACUCGGAGGAAGGUGGGGAUGACGUCAAAUCAUCAUGCCCCUUAUGUCUUGGGCUUCACGCAUGCUACAAUGGCCGGUACAAAGGGCUGCGAUACCGCAAGGUGGAGCGAAUCCCAAAAAGCCGGUCUCAGUUCGGAUUGAGGUCUGCAACUCGACCUCAUGAAGUCGGAGUCGCUAGUAAUCGCAGAUCAGCAACGCUGCGGUGAAUACGUUCCCGGGCCUUGUACACACCGCC